GCGUCGAUGGUGUAGUGGUAACAUACGAGCUUCCCAUGCUUACGAAUCAUUUGAUUCGGAAGUUGCUUGUGCCUCGGGUUCGAUUCCCGGUCGUCGCA